rnacentral:rRNA from 1 species
UGCAGUCGAACGCGCAGCGAAAGGUGCUUGCACCUUUCAAGCGAGUGGCGAACGGGUGAGUAACACGUGGAUAACCUGCCUCAAGGCUGGGGAUAACAUUUGGAAACAGAUGCUAAUACCGAAUAAAACUUAGUAUCGCAUGAUACAAAGUUGAAAGGCGCUACGGCGUCACCUAGAGAUGGGUCCGCGGUGCAUUAGUUAGUUGGUGGGGUAAAGGCCUACCAAGACAAUGAUGCAUAGCCGAGUUGAGAGACUGAUCGGCCACAUUGGGACUGAGACACGGCCCAAACUCCUACGGGAGGCUGCAGUAGGGAAUCUUCCACAAUGGGCGAAAGCCUGAUGGAGCAACGCCGCGUGUGUGAUGAAGGCUUUAGGGUCGUAAAGCACUGUUGUAUGGGAAGAAAUGCUAGAAUAGGGAAUGAUUCUAGUUCGACGGUACCAUACCAGAAAGGGACGGCUAAAUAC